rnacentral:rRNA from 1 species
GAUGAACGCUGGCGGCGUGCCUAAUACAUGCAAGUCGAGCGAACAGACGAGGAGCUUUCUCCUCUUACGUUAGCGGCGGACGGGUGAGUAACACGUGGAUAACCUACCUAUAAGACUGGGAUAACUUCGGGAAACCUGAGCUAAUACCGGAUAAUAUAUUGAACCGCAUGGUUCAAUAGUGAAAGACGGUUUUGCUGUCCCUUAUAGAUGGAUCCUCGCCGCAUUAGCUAGUUGGUAAGGUAACGGCUUACCAAGGCAACGAUGCGUAGCCGACCUGAGAGGGUGAUCGGCCACACUGGAACUGAGACACGGUCCAGACUCCUACGGGAGGCAGCAGUAGGGAAUAUUCCGCAAUGGGCGAAAGCCUGACGGAGCAACGCCGCGUGAGUGAUGAAGGUCUUCGGAUCGUAAAACUCUGUUAUUAGGGAAGAACAAAUGUGUAAGUAACUAUGCACGUCUUGACGGUACCUAAUCAGAAAGCCACGGCUAACUACGUG